UGUGAGCAAGCAAGUUUCAAGAGUGUGGAAUUAAGAAGCAAAAAUUUGUGAGAGAGCAAAAAUUUAUAGUGUCCUUUGUAAAAGUCAUCAAGCAAUAAACGUUUGUUUCUUCAUCAAAUUUCUUCCUGAAGAACCUGCAGACUAUGAAAAGACAAAAUUGUGAAGACCAAGAAGACGAUCUACAACAAUUUGCUAUGGCGGGAGCACGUGGGAACGCAUGGACUUAUUCGGGAG